rnacentral:rRNA from 1 species
GACGUAGGGCGCGAGCGUUGUCCGGAUUUAUUGGGCGUAAAGAGCUCGUAGGCGGCUUGUCGCGUCGAAUGUGAAAUCUCGGGGCUCAACUCCGAGCUUGCAUUCGAUACGGGCAGGCUAGAGUUCGGGUAGGGGAGACUGGAAUUCCUGGUGUAGCGGUGAAAUGCGCAGAUAUCAGGAGGAACACCGAUGGCGAAGGCAGGUCUCUGGGCCGAUACUGACGUGAGGAGCGAAAGCGUGGGGAGCGAACAGG